UCUAUUUAUAUAUAUGUGCGUGUGUGUGUGGGUGGGUGUGUGUGUGUAUAUAUAUAUACACACACACACACACACACACCCACACACACACACACACC
rnacentral:miRNA from 1 species